CCUACGGGCGGCAGCAGUGAGGAAUAUUGGUCAAUGGGCGCGAGCCUGAACCAGCCAAGUCGCGUGAGGGAUGACGGCCCUACGGGUUGUAAACCUCUUUUGCCGGGGAGCAACAGGCGCCACGUGUGGCGCCACUAGGAGUACCCGGAGAAAAAGCUUCGGCUAACUCCGUGCCAGCAGCCGCGGUAAUACGGAGGAUGCGAGCGUUAUCCGGAUUUAUUGGUUUUAAAGGGUGCGUAGGCGGAAGGUUAAGUCAGCGGUAAAAUGUCGGUGCUCAACACCGACAUGCCGUUGAAACUGGUCUUCUUGAGUGAGCGAGAAGUAUGCGGAAUGCGUGGUGUAGCGGUGAAAUGCAUAGAUAUCACGCAGAACUCCGAUUGCGAAGGCAGCAUACCGGCGCUCAACUGACGCUGAGGCACGAAAGCGUGGGGAUCGAACAGGAUUAGAUACCCUUGUAGUC
rnacentral:rRNA from 1 species